CCGAGUGUGGCCCCCUUUCUAUAUAAGAGGGGUACCUCCCGUCCUUUGCAGGGCCCUUUGAGGCUUUUUGAAUUUUGCUUCGGUGGGGUUAACCCGCCGGAACACCCUCAAGAAAAUCUUUUAUGAACUUUUGUUGUCUGAGUUGCUUGCGAAUAAAUCA
rnacentral:misc_RNA from 1 species